UACGUAGGGUGCAAGCGUUAAUCGGAAUUACUGGGCGUAAAGCGUGCGCAGGCGGUGAUGUAAGACAGAUGUGAAAUCCCCGGGCUCAACCUGGGAACUGCAUUUGUGACUGCAUCGCUGGAGUGCGGCAGAGGGGGAUGGAAUUCCACGUGUAGCAGUGAAGUGCGUAGAUAUGCGGAGGAACACCGAUGGCGAAGGCAAUCCCCUGGGCCUGCACUGACGCUCAUGCACGAAAGCGUGGGGAGCAAACAGG
rnacentral:rRNA from 1 species